rnacentral:rRNA from 1 species
AGACGACUCUCGGCAACGGAUAUCUCGGCUCUCGCAUCGAUGAAGAACGUAGCGAAAUGCGAUACUUGGUGUGAAUUGCAGAAUCCCGUGAACCAUCGAGUCUUUGAACGCAAGUUGCGCCCGAAGCCAUCAGGCCGAGGGCACGUCUGCCUGGGCGUCACGCAUCGCGUCGCCACCCCCUCCYGUCGU